rnacentral:lncRNA from 1 species
CCAAUCUCUGUUUCUAUAACAAUUGUAACUACUUUUUUAUAACAAAGAUACUCAUCUACUAGAUUUUGGCAAAGUGGGAUGCAAACAAUUCCUAAACCCUGUCUCCAUUCGGCAGUGUUCUUGGAGAAUUUUACACUCAGUGAUCAUCAAACUCUGCAGUGGUGUCUUUUUCAGGAAGUUCGGUAGCAAAUGUAUCCAAAAGCAGGAGUCAAUCUCUAAGGAAUGAAGACAUGGCAUUAUUGUAAAGGAACUAUCUUUUUC